AUUAAAUGUUUUUCUACGUGU
rnacentral:miRNA from 1 species